GGCAAAUGUUAAUCUUUUCAAAUAUUUCAGAAGUUACUGGAUCAAACUUGGGAAGACAGAUAUUUAUAGAUAAAGAAAACAUGGGAGCCGGCCCCAUGGCCGAGCGGUAAAGUUCGUGCUCUCGCUUCAGCAGCCCGGGGUUUUGCCAGUUCGGAUCCUGGGCGCGGACAUGACGCUGCUCACUCAUCAGGACCUACAACUAGAAUAUACAACUACGUACUGGGGGCUUCGGGGAGAAAGAAAAGAAAAGAAGGAAAAAAAAAAAAAGAAGAUUGGCAACAGAUGUUAGCUCAGGUGCCAAUCAAAAGAAAAGAAAAAGGAUCAGACAAAUUCUAUAUUGACCUAUGUAAUAUAGCUUUUUUUCCCCUGGAUCUCCCAGCAAGCUGUCAACCCAAUAUAUCAUGCAGGAUUGUGAGGCUGCCCAUCACAGGCAAUUGCUGUCUGACAAAGAUAUGGAUAAUUAUAACCACCAUUUGUUGUGUGCCAGCCGCUGUACAUACAUUAUGACUAAUCUUCACAGAAACCAUUGUGAAAGGAACCAUCAAAGGAUGUGCUGAGGUGGAUUCUCUGUCAUUCGGAGGUAAUGAGUCACCAUGAUGAG
rnacentral:lncRNA from 1 species